UCCCAGCCACCGACGAGCUCGCGCGCCACCAUGGUCGCUCGCCCACUACCGCGCCACCACCGACGGAGGCUCCUAUUUCCGUCUCCCCGUGCCGCCCACACUCCCCCUCCCCCUACCCACACCAGGCAUUGUGCGUCGCCCCCUCUACCUCCUGCAUGCCGCCGCUAGCCAACCACGCGUCGGCGACUAGCCAGCCGAGGCGGACUCUGUCCGGUGUCUGUCGUGGACUGGGAAUGGGCGCGACGAGCGGUGUUGCUCCUGCUGCUGGUGGUUGUCACCGUGCCGGCAAGGCUCUGCCGAACUGAUUCGGUGUGUGGUCAGUCAGUCCCCUCGGCCAUCUGAAAGCUCUGUUUCACCUAACAUUUCUCCACACUGCUCACCUUGUUUUGUAUGGAUUAUGUUUACCUGUGGGAGUUGCGAACAUUAUGAACUACUUAUCCAAGCAGUAUUGAUUUGUUAGAUCUGAAACUUACCAAGUUAGCUGAUCUGUACAAUUGCCUACCUAUUCUACUACCAUGUUUGGCGAGAAUGACAGUGAAAGCGUAAUCCUGGUCAAUAUAUAUGAUUACUUCGACACAAAGAUUUAUCCUCAGCUUAAGGACAUCAUCAAGAAUGUUAUGAAUUAGGAAAUGGAGAAGAUCAAGGGGUUCCCGGUGGACAACAACGUGCCCUACACAGAGAGGCUGAAAAUUCUGCGGACAUUGUGAACCCCAAGACCUGCAGCUUAGUGCAGCCGAUGGGAGGCUUGUGCAGACCUACAACCAGAAGGAUUGAACUACUUUGAGAUCGAUAUCGACGUGCACCGGUUCAACUACAUAUCGUGAAAGGGCUUCGAGACCUUCUGAGAGCAGCACAAACAUGGCGCCAUUGAUCUUGAUCUAACCAUUCAGACGACGGGGAGCCUCAUGAACAGGGGCUUCUCCAGCUGCCGGAUGGCCAUCCCCCAAUGUUCCUUCGUGCUCGUCGUAGUCACCCACUCUGAGUCACUCAACCUCAGGGCAGCCAUCGGUGCCACCAAGCUCGCCAGCACACUCGUCCAGCUUGACGGCGCCAUGGUGCUCACCUUCUACAUAGGUGUGGCCUUCAGCUUCCUCCAGGUCGCUGUCGUCGGCCUCGGCGUGUAAUGCAGCCUCGCCGGCUGGAUCAUCUCCAGCAGGGUGUGGUCGCGUCCGGCAUGUCCUUCGUGGUGCUGACAUGGUGCAUCGACCGAGGACCUAGCCUGGUCAAUGGGAAACUCUGACCGCACUAACCAGCAGCCCAGAAAACCGGGGAGAGAGCCCGCAACCUCAUGUGCAGAGGAAAAUAAAUCGAGAGGAGCCAGAAAAUUUGGAUCGAAGGAGGGGGUUCUUUCGGGACGUGGUGGAUCGAAGGGAAGGGGUGGUGUGAUACUUUUUGCAAUCUGCCACACGGUUGAUAGUUAUCACAGUCCAUUAGAUAUACG